rnacentral:rRNA from 1 species
GAUGAACGCUGGCGGUGUGCCUUACACAUGCAAGUCGAACGGUAACGGGCCUUCGGGUGCCGACGAGUGGCGAACGGGUGAGUAAUGUAUCGGAACGUACCAUUGAGUGGGGGAUAACGUAGCGAAAGUUACGCUAAUACCGCAUAUUCUCUCCGGAGGAAAGCAGGGGACCGCAAGGCCGUGCGCUCUUUGAGCGGCCGAUAUCAGAUUAGCUAGUUGGUGGGGUAAAAGCUCACCAAGGCGACGAUCUGUAGCGGGUCUGAGAGGAUGAUCCGCCACACUGGAACUGAGACACGGUCCAGACUCCUACGGGAGGCAGCAGUGGGGAAUUUUGGACAAUGGGGGCAACCCUGAUCCAGCCAUGCCGCGUGAGUGAAGAAGGCCUUCGGGUUGUAAAGCUCUUUCAGCCGGGAAGAAAUCGCAUGGGCUAAUACCCCGUGCGGAUGACGGUACCGGAAUAAGAAGCACCGGCUAACUACGUGCCAGCCGCCGCAGUAA